UACGUAGGGUCCGAGCGUUGUCCGGAAUUACUGGGCGUAAAGAGCUCGUAGGUGGUUUGUCGCGUUGUCCGUGAAAACUCACAGCUCAACUGUGGGCGUGCGGGCGAUACGGGCAGACUGGAGUACUGCAGGGGAGACUGGAAUUCCUGGUGUAGCGGUGGAAUGCGCAGAUAUCGGGAAGAACACCCGUGGCGAAGGCGGUUCUCUGGGACGGUACUGACGCUGAGACGCGAAAGCGUGGGGAGCGAACAGG
rnacentral:rRNA from 1 species